rnacentral:sRNA from 1 species
GCCAACAUUUUCAAUCACAAAAGAAUUCAUCUUGAGAUUCAAUCAAACACAAAAUUCCAAAGAGAAGGAAGAAUUGUUGGAACUAGCUAGAAAAAUCAUUCUCAGAUGUAAGAGAAAAUUGGGUCUCAAAACCCUGGGCUCUGGAAAGCAUGUGCAUCUUCCUGCUGCAUGGACUGAAGUAAUAUAUCUGGCUCAAUGCAAAGGGGAAAUCCAAGAUGAAGCUUUAAAUAUGCUUUAUGCAUCUCUGGACCAUGCUUCCUUUGAUUAUGAUCAUCUGCCUGCCUUAUUUUUUGUUGCGGAAUCGGUUUUAUACAGACUGUGUUGUGAUGCAUCCCUCAAAACAUAUUUAUAUUCAGUUGAAAUAAAGCUAGCAAAGAUUGGCUAUUUGGUCUUCUUACGACUUUUUAUAUUUUUCCUGCAUGGUCAUCUAGAAAGUUUUAAACAACAUUUACUUAGGCUUCAACCAUAUUUAUACGCACUUUCUUUCUCUGGAGCAUCAUAUCACAAGUAUCCAAACAUCUUUUCAAAUGUGCAAUUCAUCCUGAAAGCCUCGGAAAUUAUAGGUAAAAGAGAACUCUGUUCUGAAUCCAUUUUUAGCCCUGUGGAAGAUAAGAAAAGAUAUGAGAACACAGAUUCUGAUAUGGGAGGAUAUGAAAUUAACCACCUGCUCUGGCACUGUGUUGCUGCUUGGUCUUGUGUUCAGAAUAACAGUCCUCAGUUGAAUAACGUGCUUGAACAUCUCGUCUUCCAUAAGACACAGCUUCAAAAGAAAUGCUGGUUGGAUUCAGUACUGGCUUUACUGGUCCUUGGGGAGGCUGCCAAAUUAAACAUGGCCUGCUUGAAAGCUUUAAUGGACGUAGUGCGAGAUUUUGUUUCAAGCAUUAUGUCUGUUCAAAAUCAGGAAGAAAGUUGCAAGGUAGAUGAUUUUUCCUGGGCCUGGAAUGUAGUCUACAUAUAUACAGUAAUUCUUGCAGAAAUUUGCUUGUAUGCAGCCACUUCUGAUUUGCGAAAAACUGCUUUAAUUGGUUUCUGUCACUGUAAAAGUUCACAAAAAAAUAUUUUAUACUUGGACAAAUCAGUACCUCCAGAAUUAAAGGAAACAAGUAUUUUAAGUCUUUUGGAAUAUUUAUCUUCAAAAAUGUCAGAGAACUGUGAUCAAGUAGUCUGGACUGGUUACUAUGGCUUAGUGUAUAACCUGGUGAAAAUUUCAUGGGAACUUCAAGGAGACGAAGAACAGGAUGGACUUAGAAACAUGAUAUGGCAAACAUUGCAGAAAACAAAGGAUUAUGAGGAAGAUGUACGAAUCCAAAAUGCAAUCAAUAUAGCUCAGGGAACAUCCUUCUGUAUCAGAAAUUCCCAUGUUUCCAUAUCCAGAUUUCUUCACCAAGGCAGAUAAAGAGUUGGCAAAAAUCAUUGACCAUCACUGGCAGGAAGAGCUAAAGAUCCAAGAAAAAGAAGAUGCAAUAUGCAAGGCCCAAGAACUUAAAGAUAAAAAGUUAGCAGAGAAAAAUCACUUUCAAGAAGUUAUGAAGAAAAGAGAAGAGAAACUACAUAAGCAAACCAAGCCCUAUGAGCUUCCUUAUAGGAAGGAAGUAAUUUAAUUAGAAAAGAAAAUGCCACCUCCCAAAAUUGAGGACUACAUGGCAGAAAUACAUAGGAUGAAAAAUACCAAGAUAGCUACAUAGUGUUAGAAACUGAAUAAAUGGAAAGGGAACAUAGAAAUAACACUGAAACAGUAGCUGCAGGAAACUGCUACCACAUUUGGAGCCAUGGAAUCAGAGAGAAGAGGUUUGCAUUGUUAAAAUUGAAGGGAUGUAGAAGGCACUUCACACAGCUGGACUCGGAUCCUUGAUAGGGAGACAUUGCCCAGUUAUUGCUGGUACUUUUGAGGGGGCACAAUACAACUGGUUCUGGGAGUGCAGAAAAAAGUGAAAACUGAAACAACUUGUAUCUUGCUGAAACCACACUAUCAGAAAGAGGGAGAAAACUGGAAGAAUCAGGUAUUUUCUUCCCUCUCAUCCUGAAACUCUUCCUGAUGUGCUUCCUGUUCUCAGGCAUCACAAAGCAGAGAAAACAAGGGUGGACUUGGAGAUGAAAGACACAAGUUAAAUAAAUGAACAUUGUAUGGCUUAGAAGGUUAUCAGACCAUUCAAUAAAAGUUAACUCUCCUUUCUUUUCUUUUGCAU